UAAGGGGGUGGCAGAUAAAUGCUACCAGGUUAGAUGCCGGAAGAUGGGCUUACGGCCCCCCCCUUAG